rnacentral:rRNA from 1 species
AGUGAACGCUGGCGGCAGGCCUAAUACAUGCAAGUCGAACGGCAGCACAGCAGAGCUUGCUCUGUGGGUGGCGAGUGGCGGACGGGUGAGGAAUACGUGGGAAUCUGCCCAGUCGUGGGGGAUAACGUAGGGAAACUUACGCUAAUACCGCAUGCGCCCUCGGGGAAAGCCGGGGACCUUCGGGCCUGGCGCGAUUGGAUGAGCCCACGUCGGAUUAGCUAGUUGGCGGGGUAAAGGCCCACCAAGGCGACGAUCCGUAGCUGGUCUGAGAGGAUGAUCAGCCACACUGGAACUGAGACACGGUCCAGACUCCUACGGAAGGCAGCAGUAGGGAAUAUUGGACAAUGGGCGCAAGCCUGAUCCAGCCAUGCCGCGUGAGUGAAGAAGGCCCUCGGGUUGUAAAGCUCUUUUGUCCGGAAAGAAAAGCGCCGGGUUAAUACCCUGGUGUCCUGACGGUACCGGAAGAAUAAGCACCGGCUAACUUCGUGCCAGCAGCCGCGGUAAU